rnacentral:rRNA from 1 species
UACGGAAGGUGCAAGCGUUAUCCGGUUUUAUUGGGUUUAAAGGGUGCGUAGGCGGCUUAUUAAGUCAGUUGUGAAAUCCUAGUGCUUAACGCUAGAGCUGCGAUUGAUACUAUUAGGCUUGAGUUAAGAAGAGGUAAGCAGAAUUUAUGGUGUAGUAGUGAAAUACUUAGAUAUCAUAAGGAAUACCAAUAGCGUAGGCAGCUUACUGGUCUUUAACUGACGCUGAGGCACGAAAGCAUGGGGAGCAAACAGG